UACGUAGGGUGCGAGCGUUGUCCGGAAUUAUUGGGCGUAAAGAGCUCGUUAGGCGGUUUGUCGCGUCGGCCGUGAAAUCUCCACGCUUAACGUGGAGCGUGCGGUCGAUACGGGCAGACUUGGAGUUCGGUAGGGGAGACUGGAAUUCCUGGUGUAGCGGUGAAAUGCGCAGAUAGUCAGGAGGAACACCGGUGGCGAAGGCGGUUCUCUGGGCAUUACCUGACGGCUGAGGAGC
rnacentral:rRNA from 1 species